CCUACGGGCUGCAGCAGUGGGGAAUUUUGGACAAUGGGCGCAAGCCUGAUCCAGCAAUGCCGCGUGCAGGAUGAGGGCCUUCGGGUUGUAAACUGCUUUUGUACGGAACGAAAAGCCCUGGGUUAAUACCCUGGGGUCAUGACGGUACCGUAAGAAUAAGCACCGGCUAACUACGUGCCAGCAGCCGCGGUAAUACGUAGGGUGCGAGCGUUAAUCGGAAUUACUGGGCGUAGAGCGUGCGCAGGCGGUUUUGUAAGACAGAGGUGAAAUCCCCGGGCUCAACCUGGGAACUGCCUUUGUGACUGCAAGGCUAGAGUACGGCAGAGGGGGAUGGAAUUCCGCGUGUAGCAGUGAAAUGCGUAGAUAUGCGGAGGAACACCGAUGGCGAAGGCAAUCCCCUGGGCCUGUACUGACGCUCACGCACGAAAGCGUGGGGAGCAAACAGGAUUAGAUACCCGUGUAGUC
rnacentral:rRNA from 1 species